rnacentral:lncRNA from 1 species
UCAUCAAUUUUAUCCCUGUAAUACUCAUCAACAGUUCUUUAUUAUACCCAAGACAAAUAGAACUUUCAUCACCUGUUCACCUAAACCACCAAAGAUUAUAGUUAAAUCCACAAUUCAUAUUUAUAAUCAUGUAAAUCAACAGUUUCUUCUUGCCACAAAGGCUUAAUAGAACGUUUACUCAAUAUCCUUACCCCAAAGGCUAAAGAUAUUCA